rfam:Pteropus alecto contig49515, whole genome shotgun sequence.
ACCUAACAGGAUUCUUUCUUAAAAUAGGCCAGGGUGCAUCUGAUCUCUGAAGCUUAAGCAGGGUCGGCCCUGGUUAGUACUUGGAUGGAAGACCACCUAGGAAGACCAGGUGCUGUAGGCA